ACGCUGGCGGCGUGCCUAAUACAUGCAAGUAGAACGCUGAAAGAGGAGCUUGCUUCUCUGGAUGAGUUGCGAACGGGUGAGUAACGCGUAGGUAACCUGCCUGGUAGCGGGGGAUAACUAUUGGAAACGAUAGCUAAUACCGCAUAAGAGUAGAUGUUGCAUGACAUUUGCUUAAAAGGUGCAAUUGCAUCACUACCAGAUGGACCUGCGUUGUAUUAGCUAGUUGGUGGGGUAACGGCUCACCAAGGCGACGAUACAUAGCCGACCUGAGAGGGUGAUCGGCCACACUGGGACUGAGACACGGCCCAGACUCCUACGGGAGGCAGCAGUAGGGAAUCUUCGGCAAUGGACGGAAGUCUGACCGAGCAACGCCGCGUGAGUGAAGAAGGUUUUCGGAUCGUAAAGCUCUGUUGUAAGAGAAGAACGAGUGUGAGAGUGGAAAGUUCACACUGUGACGGUAUCUUACCAGAAAGGGACGGCUAACUACGUGCCAGCAGCCGCGGUAAUACGUAGGUCCCGAGCGUUGUCCGGAUUUAUUGGGCGUAAAGCGAGCGCAGGCGGUUAGAUAAGUCUGAAGUUAAAGGCUGUGGCUUAACCAUAGUACGCUUUGGAAACUGUUUAACUUGAGUGCAAGAGGGGAGAGUGGAAUUCCAUGUGUAGCGGUGAAAAGCGUAGAUAUAUGGAGGAACACCGGUGGCGAAAGCGGCUCUCUGGCUUGUAACUGACGCUGAGGCUCAAAAGCGUGGGGAGCAAACAGGAUUAGAUACCUGGGUAGUCCACGCCGUAAACGAUGAGUGCUAGGUGUUAGACCCUUUCCGGGGUUUAGUGCCGCAGCUAACGCAUUAAGCACUCCGCCUGGGGAGUACGACCGCAAGGUUGAAACUCAAAGGAAUUGACGGGGGCCCGCAC
rnacentral:rRNA from 1 species